rnacentral:lncRNA from 1 species
GGGCGCUGUCCUCCCUUCGCCCAGCCGUGAGCCCCACUGCAUUUUUUUGAGGCUUAAAGUGGCAUUCUCUAAACAAUUUAAAAAUCAUGUCAAGCUCAAUUGAACAGAAAAAAGGGUCUACGAGACAGCGCAAAUGUGGCUUUUGUAAGUCAAAUAGAGACAAGGAAUGCGGACAAUUACUGAUAUCUGAAAACCAGAAGGUGGCAGCACACCAUAAGUGCAUGCUGUUUUCAUCUGCUUUGGUAUCCUCACAUUCUGAUAAUGAGAGUCUUGGUGGAUUUUCUAUUGAAGAUGUCCAAAAGGAAAUUAAAAGAGGCACAAAGCUGGAGUUUUUCCGAAGCUGUGCUAGAGUUAUGCUCCCGUAGUUAUCCUUAUCACCAUAACCAGAUUGGCAAGAUGUUAUAUUGCUCCUUGGGAAAAAUAGCCUCAUCUCAAUUGGUAUUUACAACACCUGACUUAUCACGAAAUACUUAAUUGAUUAAAAGAUUUCUUUUCA